rnacentral:rRNA from 1 species
GUGCCAGCAGCCGCGGUAAUACGUAGGGUGCGAGCGUUAAUCGGAAUUACUGGGCGUAAAGUGUGCGCAGGUGGCCGCGCAAGUCGAGUGUGAAAUCCCCGAGCUUAACUUGGGAAUUGCGCUCGAAACUACGUGGCUCGAGUGUGGCAGAGGAAGGUGGAAUUCCACGUGUAGCGGUGAAAUGCGUAGAGAUGUGGAGGAACACCGAUGGCGAAGGCAGCCUUCUGGGCCAACACUGACGCUCAUGCACGAAAGCGUGGGGAGCAAACAGGAUUAGAAACCCCCGUAGUCC